rnacentral:tRNA from 1 species
AGAGUGUCACGCCGGUAUGAACGGAUUACUUUGAUGAGGUUAAACAUGAGAGCCCUCUCGGACACUUUG